CAGUCGCCACGGUAAUACAGAGGGUGCGAGCGUUAAUCGGAUUUACUGGGCGUAAAGCGUGCGUAGGCGGCUUUUUAAGUCGGAUGUGAAAUCCCUGAGCUUAACUUAGGAAUUGCACUCGAUACUGGGAAGCUAGAGUAUGGGAGAGGAUGGUAGAAUUCCAGGUGUAGCGGUGAAAUGCGUAGAGAUCUGGAGGAAUACCGAUGGCGAAGGCAGCCAUCUGGCCUAAUACUGACGCUGAGGUACGAAAGCAUGGGGAGCAAACAGGAUUAGAUACCCCGGUAGUCCCUGUCUCUUAUAC
rnacentral:rRNA from 1 species